rnacentral:tRNA from 1 species
GUGCCGCUAGCUCAGUAGGUAGAGCAUCUGACUUUUAAUCAGAUGGUCGCUGGUUCGAUCCCAGCGCGGCACACCA